AUUUGAAAUCUCCGACGCUUGCGUCGGCGAGUUGUAGUUGCGAGAAGCACUUUCUCGGCGGAUCGACCGUGCCUAAGUUGCUUGGAACAGCACGUCGCAGAGGGUGACAACCCCGUCUGUGGCGCGGCCGGCCGCUCACGAUGUGCUUUCGAAGAGUCGGGUUGUUUGGGAAUGCAGCCCAAAAUGGGUGGUAAACUCCAUCUAAAGCUAAAUACUGGCGUGAGACCGAUAGCGAACAAGUACCGUGAGGGAAAGAUGAAAAGAACUUUGAAAAGAGAGUUAAAAAGUACGUGAAACCGUUGGAAGGGAAACGAAUGGACUCAGCAAUGCGCCGUUUUGAGAUUCAGCCGGCGGGUGGUGCCGGCCCGGGGUUUGCGGAUCCGAAUGGACCGCGGUCUUGGGCUCGGUGCUCCCGGCCGUCGCACUUCUCUUGGGCGCGCGUCAACGUCGGUUGGGACUGGGUCUGAAAGGUGCCGGGAAGGUAGGUCUGUGCGUCCCCUCGGGGGCGUUCGGUCUGUUACAGCCCGGUUCUCUCGCGGCUCGGGCCCGACCGAGGCGGCUUGUGUGCAGCGCAUGCCUCUUGUGGCUAGGGUCCCGUCCCUCCGGCCGGUUGUCGAAUGCGGUGGACUGCUUGCAGUGCUCCGCGAAUGCUGCCGGUCGUUGGGGUGGUGAUCUCGUACCAUGCGCUUAGGAUGUUGGCGGUCAUAUGGGUCCAUCCGACCCGUCUUGAAACACGGACCAAGGAGUCUAACAUGUGCGCGAGUCUUUGGGUGUCUUUAAACCCCGAGGCGCAAUGAAAGUGAAGCUGGUCUAGACCAGUGAGGCGAGAUCCCGGGAGCAUAUCCCGGGCGCAUCGUCGACCGACCUAUUCUACUCUUAGGAAGGUUUGAGUAAGA
rnacentral:rRNA from 1 species